AACUUUCUCCUCCUCCCUGUGUGACUCAGAGGCUGAUGAACUUAUCAGUGAUCGGUCAAACGUGAGGACUUCCCGUGACCUCCUGAGUAAUUGGUUUAAACCGUAAAUCCGAAAGCGGUGGCGUGCUCAUCUGUAACGACAUCCCCCACAUUCACUGCUCGACGUGGAGACAGAGAGAAGAGGGGAGUGUGGAGCGUAACACACCGAGGCUGGCACGGAGCAGUUUAAAUCAGGAGUCUGGUGGAUUUGGACGGUGGUGAUACAGUGAAGUAGCUUCAGGUUCCUGCUGGGAAGAAAAAGACGAGCACUGCUGCCGUGUGAAUCAGUGACAGCGAACACACCUUCUCACCGCUGUGUGUUUACGCCAGGCCCCGGAUCAGUUUAAUCUGCACUUUAACCACAACUGGGACACUCAUGAUACCACCCACACUGACAGUGUAAGCACACGGCCAGCGGUCAAACUGUUUGGCAUGAAUAAUGGAUCAUGGAGCAGGUAUGCAAAUGCAGAUGUGUGUGUUUUCCCAGUUUAGACCCUUUAAACCUGCGAAUUCCAAAAAAAUGCAGCAUUUCAACAGCCAAAUAUAAUCGUUUACCGUUUAAUAUUA